rnacentral:rRNA from 1 species
CCCUACGGGGCGCAGCAGGCGCAAAAACUUUACAAUGCUGGAAACAGCGAUAAGGGGACCUCGAGUGCCAGGUUACAAAUCUGGCUGUCGUGAUGCCUAAAAAGCAUUGCAUAGCAAGGGCCGGGCAAGUCCGGUGCCAGCCGCCGCGGUAACACCGGCGGCUCGAGUGGUAACCGUUAUUAUUGGGUCUAAAGGGUCUGUAGCCGGCCGGAUAAGUCUCUUGGGAAAUCCAGCAGCUCAACUGUUGGGCUUUCAGGAGAUACUGUCUGGCUCGAGGCCGGGAGAGGCGAGAGGUACUUCAGGGGUAGGGGUGAAAUCCUGUAAUCC